AUUGAACGCUGGCGGCAUGCCUUACACAUGCAAGUCGAACGGCAGCACGGGGGCAACCCUGGUGGCGAGUGGCGAACGGGUGAGUAAUGCAUCGGAACGUGCCCAGUAGUGGGGGAUAACUAGUCGAAAGAUUAGCUAAUACCGCAUACGACCUAUGGGUGGAAAGCGGGGGAGUUCGCAAGAACCUCGCGCUAUUGGAGCGGCCGAUGUCUGAUUAGCUAGUUGGCGGGGUAAAAGCCCACCAAGGCGACGAUCAGUAGCUGGUCUGAGAGGACGACCAGCCACACUGGGACUGAGACACGGCCCAGACUCCUACGGGAGGCAGCAGUGGGGAAUUUUGGACAAUGGGCGCAAGCCUGAUCCAGCCAUGCCGCGUGCGGGAA
rnacentral:rRNA from 1 species